rnacentral:rRNA from 1 species
GAUGAACGCUAGCUACAGGCUUAACACAUGCAAGUCGAGGGGAAACGACAUCGAAAGCUUGCUUUUGAUGGGCGUCGACCGGCGCACGGGUGAGUAACGCGUAUCCAACCUGCCCACCACUUGGGGAUAACCUUGCGAAAGUAAGACUAAUACCCAAUGAUAUCCCACGAAGACAUCUGAAUGGGAUUAAAGAUUUAUCGGUGAUGGAUGGGGAUGCGUCUGAUUAGCUUGUUGGCGGGGUAACGGCCCACCAAGGCAACGAUCAGUAGGGGUUCUGAGAGGAAGGUCCCCCACAUUGGAACUGAGACACGGUCCAAACUCCUACGGGAGGCAGCAGUGAGGAAUAGUGGGCAAUGGGCGAGAGCCUGAACCAGCCAAGUAGCGUGCAGGAAGACGGCCCUAUGGGUUGUAAACUGCUUUUAUAAGGGAAUAAAGUGGGUCACGUGUGACUUUUUGCAUGUACCUGAUGAAUAAGGACCGGCUAAUUCCGUG